rnacentral:snRNA from 1 species
AGCUUUGCACAGUGGCAGUAUCGUAGCCAAUGAGGUUUAUCUGAGGCGCGAUUAUUGCUAAUUGAAAACUUUUCCCAAAACCC